AAAAAAAAAAAAAAGAGGGCUUAUUAUUUAAGUCAAUAGUGCAACUCCAAAAUAAAUCCAAGUUUCUAUUAAACCCCUUAUCAAAGUAAAAAAGUUAGGUCUGCAUAUUAAACAAAGUGCAACAUGUUUAGAGUGUAAGAGACAAUGGUGUCCAGCUCAAAGUCCAACUCAAAUAUUGGAAUCAAAUGUCUGAUAGACAUGUGCUAGCUCUUUUCUUGGAAACUUUUCACUACUAACUAACACUUACAUUACAGCGUGAAAUAUUCACAUUAUAUAAUACCACUGACCUAUUUAAAGACACUAAA